ACGGAGAAGAGCUUGCUCUUCAAUGUUAGUGGCGAACGGGUGCGUAACACGUGAGCAACUUGCCUUCUGGUGGGGGAUAGCCGGUCCAAAGGCCGGGUAAUACCGCGUACCGCAUCGAGACCGCAUGGUUUUGAUGUGAAAGCGGCCGCAAGGUCGCGCCGGAAGAGAGGCUCGCGGCGUAUCAGCUUGUUGGUGGGGUAACGGCCUACCAAGGCUACGACGCGUAGCUGGUCUGAGAGGAUGAUCAGCCACAUUGGGACUGAGAUACGGCCCAGACUCCUACGGGAGGCAGCAGUGGGGAAUAUUGCGCAAUGGCCGAAAGGCUGACGCAGCGACGCCGUGUGUGGGAUGAAGGCCCUUGGGUUGUAAACCACUGUCAGGAGGGACGAAUACUCGGCUUCAAAUAGUUGACCGAGGGUGACGGUACCUCCAGAGGAAGCACCGGCUAACUCCGUGCCAGCAGCCGCGGUAAUACGGAGGGUGCGAGCGUUGUCCGGAUUCACUGGGCGUAAAGCGCGCGUAGGCGGUUUUGUAUGUCAUGUGUGAAAUCCCGGAGCUCAACUCCGGGGCUGCAUGUGAAACUGCGAGACUAGAGCUCGGUAGAGGCAAGUGGAAUUCCCGGUGUAGCGGUGGAAUGCGUAGAU
rnacentral:rRNA from 1 species